CACUCUUUGUAUUGUUCAACCUGAUCAAUUUUUUUCUGUUUCGCCCCAUUCCUUCAAUUCCCUUCCUAAAAUCAACCAACUCGUACAAUUAAUUUUUCAUCCCAACUCCUUUCUAAUCUCUCAGGCCCAAUCCCCUAUCCCAUCUCAAUUCUGCAGGCCUAACUUACUAAUACCCAACCCACUUUUCCCUAUACAGAUUCUCUUUUUGCCCCGACCCGUUUCUCUGUCGUUCAAAAAAGAUGAGAGCACUAGUUGUACAACAGAGAAGCUUCAUCACAGAGCGUGUAGCAUCACGUGAUUCCAAGCAGUUGCGACGUCCAUUGAACCAGACAACGCAAAAAUGCGUGAGCAACGACACUCUUUCCUCCAAUGUCUCCUUGAGAAGAAAAUCCUGUAGUUUCGUCCUUGUGCAACCGAAGGUCAAGGCACGUUGCAUUCAAGGACAGUUGAGACGAUCCAAGUGAACCACAUCGCUGUCCUUAUUCGAAUUUUAAUAGAUUGGGAGUCCUUUUUGUCCUGGUAGUAGCUGUUUUUCGCCCUUUGAAGAAUUUUGAAUUUGAGUAAUGAUUUUGAAUUCCCGUUAUGCCCUUCCCCCCCCCCCCCCCAAUAAAAACACGAAACCCUAAUACCCCUCCUAUAAAUAUUCCUGUUCUUGACAGAUUUGGGGGUUGGAAAUUUUUAAGAGAAGAUAGAAAGACAGAGUUAUGGAUAAUUAGGAGAGGAAAAUUUUUGAAAAGAAGAAACAUUUAAACAUGGGAAAUGAUGGGUUUUUUAUCAUCUUUUUCCCUUGAUUCUUUUGGGGUGGUAAUCGUAGGGGAUUUAGCGACAACUUCUAAGUCAAAAUUCAUUAUGGGUUCGGUAUAACGGGAAGUUUCUUGAUACGAAUACAGAGCCUCAACAAGUUAAUGGCAGUAAGUUUAAGACUGAAUCGAGAAUAUUUUGAAGUCUUUCUGGACCUCCUCUUUCCGUUUGUUUGGGUUCGUGUCUGUGCUCGCCUGAUUGAAAGAUCGUCACCCUCAAACUCGUAGUCUUAUUUUACUACACUGGAAAAGCAUGUGAUACUAUCCGAGUUCAGUAUGAACCUUCAUUUUCCCUUUGCAUCUAGCUUGAGAGACUUUGAGGCUCGAAUCCCUUAUUAUUUAAAGUCCAAAACAAAAGGAAGGAUCCAAAGUUGAAAGAGUUGAAGAUAUUUGAAGACGUUGGAUUAGACAACCUUUCUUUUUUAUUCUCUUUUCUUUUUUAUUAUUUUUAAUGGGCCUAAAACCUUGUCGUCCUUCAUUUUCCCUUUCAUUUAUUAUUAUUAUUUUUAGUCUAGGACAAGUCCGAAAGAAUAUGGGUUGAAACCCAAAAAGUCAAAUGAGUUAAAACUCAAAGACAGGUGGGUCUAGCUACCGUUCAAGGCGAACAGAAAACUCGGAUUUGGACCCAAAUCUCUCUCCUCUCUAUCUUUACUUGCUUGUUAUUGCUUA